rnacentral:rRNA from 1 species
AGCCAUACUACCCAGAACAUGCCUGAUCUCUUCUGAUCUCAGAAGCUACGCAGCGUUAGGCCUAGUUAGUACUUGGAUGGGAGAACAGUCAAAUAAAACCAAGACAUAAUUAUUC